rnacentral:lncRNA from 1 species
GCAUGCACAGCACACAUGCACUCAUAUACGCACACACAGUACACGCACACAAUAUAGUACACAUAUACACUCACAUCAUGUACAUAUACACUUGCACUAAACACACACACACUCACACGGCACAACACACACACACACGCAACACACCACACACGUGCACACACAUGCGCCACACACACAAACCACAUACACUCACACAUUUACACGGACACACCCACACACACAGUUAACACACACACACACAUCGCAGCCCACACCACACAUACACUGUACUGCACACACACGAC